rnacentral:rRNA from 1 species
GAUGAACGCUGGCGGCGUGCCUAAUACAUGCAAGUCGAGCGAAUGGAUUAAGAGCUUGCUCUUAUGAAGUUAGCGGCGGACGGGUGAGUAACACGUGGGUAACCUGCCCAUAAGACUGGGAUAACUCCGGGAAACCGGGGCUAAUACCGGAUAAUAAAAAGAAACGCGUGUUUCUUUUUUGAAAGUUGGUUUCGGCUAACACUUACAGAUGAGCCCGCGGCGCAUUAGCUAGUUGGUGAGGUAACGGCUCACCAAGGCGACGAUGCGUAGCCGACCUGAGAGGGUGAUCGGCCACACUGGGACUGAGACACGGCCCAGACUCCUACGGGAGGCAGCAGUAGGGAAUCUUCGGCAAUGGGCGAAAGCCUGACCGAGCAACGCCGCGUGAGCGAUGAAGGCCUUCGGGUCGUAAAGCUCUGUUGUUAGGGAAGAACACGUACGAGAGUAACUGCUCGUACCUUGACGGUACCUAACCAGAAAGCCACGGCUAACUACGUGCCAGCAGCCGCAGUAA